GAGUAUCAAUCUGGCCCAAGUGAGGUAAAAAAAAAAAAAAAUGAAGGUUUUAUCCAUCACCUGGUAGAGAAUUUUCCUUUUAACAUUUUCUGGAGCUGUCAUUGGGAGCAUAAUGGCAUCAUAAUGCUAUGUGCUCCACUCAUUCCUAAAGUCCCGAGGAUCUUCAUAUGAGGAAAAAAAAAAUUGCAUCUUAAGUGGAUCAAACCCUUGCUCUG
rnacentral:misc_RNA from 1 species